rnacentral:rRNA from 1 species
UGGGGAAUCUUGCACAAUGGGGGAAACCCUGAUGCAGCGACGCCGCGUGAACGAUGAAGCCCUUCGGGGUGUAAAGUUCUUUCGACAGGAACGAUAAUGACGGUACCUGGAGAAGAAGCUGCGGCUAACUACGUGCCAGCAGCCGCGGUAAUACGUAGGCAGCGAGCGUUGUUCGGAGUUACUGGGCGUAAAGAGUGCGUAGGCGGCGAGCCAAGUUUGGUGUGAAAUCUCCCGGCUUAACCGGGAGGGUGCGCCGAAAACUGGUUGGCUGGAGUAUGGGAGAGGAAAGCGGAAUUCCUGGUGUAGCGGUGAAAUGCGUAGAUAUCAGGAGGAACACCGGCGGUGUAGACGGCUUGCUAGACCAUAACUGACGCUGAGGCACGAAAGCGUGGGUAGCAAACA